GACGAACGCUGGCGGCAGGCCUAACACAUGCAAGUCGAGCGAGCGGAGGACGGGUGAGUAAUGUCUGGGAAACUGCCUGAUGGAGGGGGAUAACUACUGGAAACGGUAGCUAAUACCGCAUACCAUAAGAUAGGCCAGGAUGGGUUUAGCUAGUAGGUGGGGUAACGGCUCACCUAGGCGACGAUCCCUAGCUGGUCUGAGAGGAUGACCAGCCACACUGGAACUGAGACACGGUCCAGACUCCUACGGGAGGCAGCAGUGGGGAAUAUUGCACAAUGGGCGCAAGCCUGAUGCAGCCAUGCCGCGUGUAUGAAGAAGGCCUUCGGGUUGUAAAGUACUUUCAGCGGGGAGGCGUUACCCGCAGAAUAAGCACCGGCUAACUCCGUGCCAGCAGCCGCGGUAAUUC
rnacentral:rRNA from 1 species